rnacentral:rRNA from 1 species
CGCGUAGGCGGGGAUGUAAGUCGGGCGUGAAAUCCCUAGGCUCAACCUAGGAACUGCACUCGAAACUGCGUUUCUUGAGUAUCGGAGAGGAAAGCGGAAUUCCUGGUGUAGAGGUGAAAUUCGUAGAUAUCAGGAGGAACACCAGUGGCGAAGGCGGCUUUCUGGACGGUAACUGACGCUGAGGCGCGAAAGCGUGGGGAGCAAACA